ensembl:lncRNA
CUACAUCAACAGCCUUUCCCUCAUCUACCAGUCUGGUAACCCUGUCGUAGAAGGUAAUGAGGUUGGUCAAGCACGACCUGCCCUUUAUGAACCUGCGCUGGCUGGGCCUGAUCCCCUGGACACCACGCACAUGUGAUCCCUAGAUGAUUUGUUCCAUAGCUUUCCCCAAUACCGAGGUCAGGCUGAGAGACCUGUAGUUCCCCAGAUCCUCUUUAACAGCCCUUCUUGUAGGUGGGAAGUCACAUUGGCAAACUGUCAGUCCUCUGGGACCUUCUCAGAUUACCAGGAGUACUGGUAGAUGGUGGAGAGUGGGUCAGCAAUCACCCCUGCCAACAUCCUGGAAAAGAGAGUGCUGCGGGGAAUCUUCACUGUGGCCUUCCAGUACUUAAAGGGAGAUUAUAAACAGGAGGGGAAAAAACUUUUUACAUGGCUAGAUAGCGGUAGGAUAAGGGUGAAUGGUUUUAAACUAAAGGAAGGGAGACGUUAGCAAAACUUUUUGUGAGUAAGCUGCAUAGCAGAAAUUUGCACCCACAGCCUUCACAGAAAGGUAAAUCCGAGGUAAAAUACUGCAGAAAAAACGGUUAGGAAGGGAGUGAGCAGUCCCUGGCAUUCAGCAGCACUGACACAGUGUGGGCGGAGCCAGGGGUGACAUUGGCAAGCCCCCGUGCGUAUAAAACUUGACACUAGGCAAAUAGGGCGCGGUGUGGUAGAAGAGGCAGAUGGACCUCAACUGCUGCCAUCUCAGAGGAGCCCUCAUAACAAGAUGGAGGCCAGCGUGAAGUGUGUGGCAGAACGGGGGUGGACAGCAGGAGGCAGAGUGCCCCACCCAGGCUCCGUCUCACAAUGUGUCACGGUUCCGGGGUGGGUAGGCAGCUCUGUGAUGUCAACACAGUUGAACUCAGUUCUGAGUUCAGAGCGGUGGUCUCACCUCUGCUGUUGCGGUCACGACCGGCGUUUAGCAAUGGUUGUUGGCAGCUCUCUGUUUAUCCUUGUUACCCUUGUCCUUCUUUACGGCCUCAUGUUUUUGGUGGCCGGAAUCUUCUUGUUCACCGUGAACCAAAACAUACAGGCUGGCAGAGGACGCUUGCGGUGGAGGAGUUGGUGGCAGAGAGCAGUGGCACCAGAGCCAGGUGCUGAGAGACAGGCAGCCACCAAGCAGAGCAGCCUGCAGCGUGAACCAUUGUGCCCCUGCAGUAAGGCGGACCAGGAGCUUCAGCAGCUGGUCCUGUCAGGGCUGCCUGGCUGCAAGCCUGGCACAGCCAAAGUAGCGCUGCAAAAGGACGGCUGCGCUCAAACGGACAUCACAGGCCUGUGUGUAGCUGACACUAAACGUAUCAGAUGCCAGAGACACAGUGCAGUGGCUACCGUCAUCUCAAAACUGUGUCUCAGUCAGGCACGAUCCAGGAAGAUCUCCAUGCACACAGCCAGAAAAUGCCUGGAGAUAAAGCUUCGAUUCUUCCCUGUGGCAGUGCGGAAGUCCAUAGAACUGCUGCAACGUUUACAGCUAACACAGGGUGCCCCAGUCUACACACUCAAGAAGAAGUACCCCGUCGAUCUUGACCGGAUCAGGCGUGCGGCCAGGGCACCAGGAUCCCACCCAAUUCCCACAUACUUCUAUAGCCGGGAGGCUUUGUUCCUGUACAAGGAGGAGCGUGAGAAACUGGACCUGCACAUCUGCACCAGGAAGCUGGAGUGUCUGUGGUUCCGCCUCCCUUGUUAUCGUACAUGGCAUCCAUCAGAGUCCUCGGAGAAAGAGUCCACCUGCACAUAUGUGACUGCACCAUCUGAGGACUGGAUCAAGGAGGACUGUACUGAGGCAGGCCCUGAAAGACACAGGCGGUGGCCCUGGUGGAAGACAUGCCUGAGGGGACUCACCUCAAGAGGGCUCUGAGGAGGCACCCAUGCAGACUGCAGCAGCUCCCCACCUGCCAGUAUAACGUUGUGGGGGAAGAUGUAGCCAUGAACAAGUCAGCAAAGAGCUUAUGAGACUCUUUGGUACACCUUAUGGGUGUACCUGCGGGUGAUGAGGGGCAGGAGCGAGUCUGUGGUAACAGAUGUGGCAGGCUACCUAAAGCCUGCAGGCCAUGAAUUGGACAUGCCUGGCCCAGAGCAUCCCCAGAGCCCCCGGCCCAGAAUGGCUCAAAGCCUCUCCCUGUUUUGCAGGUUCUGAGAGACAGGCAGCCACCAAGCAGAGCAGCCCGCAGCGUGAACCAUUGUGCCCCUGCAGUAAGGCGGACCAGUAGCUUCAGCAGCUGGUCCUGUGAGGGACAUCCUGGCUGCAAGCCUGACACAGCCAAAGUAGCACUGCAAAAGGACAGCUGCGCUCAAACGGACAUCACAGGCCUGUGUGUAGCUCACAGUAACAUAUCAGUGCCAGAGCACAGUGCAGUGGCUACCGUCAUAUCAAAACUGUGUCUCAGUCAGGCACGAUCCAGGAAGAUCUCCAUGCACACAGCCAGGAAAUGCCUGGAGAUAAAGCUUCGAUUCUUCCUGUGGCAGUGCGGAAGUCCAUAGAACUGCUGCAACGUUUACAGCUAACAACUAGGUUGCCGGCGUGCCGGGUUCCAGUCUGACAUAUCAAGAAGAAUACC